AAGUAUGAGGCUACAUCAAGGGAACCUUGGGAUGUCUGAGAAAGUUCCCGUUUAAGCUCAAAUAUUUUGGUUUUAUUGGGGGUACCAUAUCUCUUUUCAAGUUGAGACCACAUGCUUUGAGCAGUGUCAGAAUAUUGAACACUAUCGGCUAUUUGAGAUUACACAGAAGAAGUUAACCAUGACAUAACGAGCAUGUUACAUCUAUCCCACAACCUCUGUAAAC
rnacentral:lncRNA from 1 species